UGUAAUUCAACACGUACUAGGAUCAAUUCUUGGAACUUAUAAUUUAAAUCAUGGAUUCAAACCCAACAAUAACAUGAACAUGAAUUCAAUUCAACCAAAUCAUAGAAAUCAUAAAUUGGAGAUCUUGCGUAUUUAAAAAAAAAAGGAUUCUUGGACUUCAUGGGUGAGAGUAACCUAUGAAUGAACACCUAACAUACCUUGGUGCUUGAAU
rnacentral:lncRNA from 1 species